rnacentral:tRNA from 1 species
GCCGGGGUAGCCAAGUGGCAAAGGCGCAGGUCUCACGAAUCUGUGGAUACAAAUCCUUUGGGGGUUCGAUUCCCCCUCCGGCA